rnacentral:lncRNA from 1 species
GCGACCUCAAUUUCGCGAUAUUACAUUCUUCUUGUCAUGCUGUGACGUCACAUUUGUGCUGCAUCACUCCUCUAGGCGUCUCUGGUGUCCUAGAAGGGUCGAACGACAUAACGCUCGGAGAGAGUGAUUAGACCGAGAGCAAGUAUUGCGUACAGUCUCCCUCUUUUGUGCCGAGUCUCCCUCCAUGAGUAUUGGACUGGUCCGCUAUUGCAGUUCUGAAGCCCAACGAAAGGUUCAGUCAGCGUUCGAGCUACCAGCAACAACGCAGUGCGCUGACGGAGCUUUGUGUUUAUGUGUCUUCUGUGUCCGGCUCCAACUGUCAACCACGUGGCUUAAACUGUUUUUGGACUACCUUGUGUCGAGAAGAAACUCUUUCAGCGUGGAGAUCUUCCAUAAUCUUCACCAUGAAAGCUAAAAGAGGUAAGUGUUGUCAAACGGCCCACGUGGUUCGCUGUCAAGAGAAUGCAGGUGGCCGAUUCUUUCUACUUUACCCGUGCCGUAUUUUAUAAACCGUCGCCAAUUUAAACUCGUUUAGUGCCCGUUCUAACCGCAUAUGUACUACCAAAGACUGCUAUAGUUUUCCAUUCGAGCAUUCCAACUUGGCCACUGACAAGUAGGCCUAUAGUGACAGUACACGUCACCAUGAGUCGUCGUUGUCAAACAGAUUAUUUCCAUUACUCGGCCGAUAAUCAAUGAUCAUUGUUUUUUGCCAACCAGGAAAGAUUGGGAAAUUCUGCACCCAACCCUACCAGUCCUGUAAUAUCCCUCGGGCGCAUGUUCAACAUCUACUCCAUAAUACCUUUAAGGCUGCGUGAGAUAACAGUUUCGGCUUGUUUUUCGUUUAACGUCUUCCUAUCUAUACGUGUUUAACGCAGUCAGAUACAAAACUGAAAUGUUAGAAACGACUCACCGCUUACGUAACUCCGACUCGGAAUUUUUAACAUUUCACGUUUAUCUCCCUCCCUCUUUCACGGUUUUUAAUUAUUAGCCAACCUUCACGUUAUUAUUAUCGACCGCGUAUUUACGAAAAUUUUGUUUUAAAACGCUAAAGGAUGUCCUGUAUUCACUCCGUUAUAAAGGUGAGCUUUGGAAACAUGCCAGAAGAGUGUAGACGUGUUUUUUUUUUCUUUCCUACUUUAUGCUAGGACUAAAUGUCAAACGAUUGUCGGUACGGCUCAGCAUGUCUGUCACGGUGUUUUGGAGUGACGUCACGCCUGACGAAACAGACUUGAUCUCAAAACUCGAUACUCAUAUUUUUUUAAAAAAUAUGGACAUCAUUCGAAUUCUUGAAGUGUCACGCGAGAGGUGCGGUCGGGAUGAGAAGGCGCCAUGACUGCACAGCACACCAAACUAUUGGCUCUCCCUUUGUAAAUUAGGUCGAUAGGACCAAUUGGCUCGGCUACAGUAGUUGGAUUGUAAAAUUGUGAAUAUGGUAAAUGGACUUCAUCCGGUGAUGCCGAUCUUCAAGAGGCGCGUGAUGCGUAACGAACAGUGAUGUUGAGUGUUUCCGGUCUUCCGACAAUUUUCGUGGGAGCCACCAAAAUAUCAAGAUGAAAGAAGAAAGUAAUUUCCCAAAGACUGACUUUUUCUUUCGAUAAUCGGCGGUUUUCUUUUUUUCUUUUUGUUCUUUUUUUUCUUUUACUGCCGUUCCUUUCUGUCACAGAUCGGCAGCAAUUAUGACGUUUAGAUGGACAUUCGUGUUGCCAGCGGUUGUUUAAUAACGGUCACAUGAUCUUGUGUCACAAUCUAGUCCACGUGAUUCAUACAAACGUCAUCCUUUUUGGUCAGAAAGAAAACCGAUUGCUGCAAUAUAUAUUUAAAGUAAAACUCGCAAACAAAUGACGUUUAUUAAUAGGUUUAAGUAAAUUCCUAGUGGCUUUUAAUUAUACGCGUAAACGGGUCCAACCGGUUAAUAAUUUCGGGCAAAUAUAACAAAAAAUUAUAUAUAUAUUUAUAUAAUUUCGACAUUGUACAGAAGGGAAAAUAUUCAUUUAGGUUCUUAGUAAACCAUUCCUAGAGACAAAAACAUGUGGUCUACUAAAUAUAACCCACUAGUUUUUUUAAUUAACGCGUAUGGUUUUUGCUGUGCGAAUUACUUUCAGAAAUAAUGACUAGUCAAAUUUUUAAAGUUUUAACACUCAUUAACGCCCAUUUGCACCCCCUAAACUCGAGAUCACAAUUUGUGAUCGCGCUGUACAGAGUCUAUAGUUCACUAAACAUAUCAUCAGAGUCUGAUAAACCGAAUGAUAAUCUCUCUCUCUCUCUUUCACAUAAUUCGAAAGGCUAACCCCCAAAGUACGAAUUUCAAAAGGAUUACACACAAACGAAUUAAUAAAAGAAAUAAAUAAAAAUACUUGUGUCAAAGCAUGGAAACUAUAGAAAGAACUCUAUUAUAGGAGGUAUAAGUUGCGUUUGGUAGAAAGUUUCUUAAUGGGGAAAAAUGUUUUUGAUUGAAUUUUAUUUUUGUAGAGAUAAAUACGUCCUUGGUCGAUGCGUCCCUUAUCCACUAUAUAACCACUUCUAGAAUCUUUUCACCAAUGUCCUUCAUCCGUAUUACUGUGUAUAGAAAAAAAGAUACCUUUGCCAAGAACGAUAAUUGGUUGUUGUUGGAUACGUUAUGUCAGCUUGAUAGUCCAUCAUAUAAAGUCAUUAACUACAGUUUCCUGUUUGCGGAAUUUUUCUUCCCAAAAUAAAAAAUAAAAAAAAUAUUUAAUAAAUCCUCAACUAAUAUUUACUUGGAUAUAUAGCUGCUCUAAACAUUUUAACCCGAGCUUCGAAACUAUCUGUGCGACGAGAGAAGAGAGAUAUACUAAAAUAGAAUCUGCCUUGUUGCUUGUUUAAAAAUACGUCGCUUUCACAAUAAGAACGCACAUCUCUCUCUAGCGAGAAUGUCGUUCGUUUAAUGUCAUGUCGACUGUUUUACUUGCUGCGUACCUUUUGUUAAAGGCGAUAAAAUAGUUUUCGACUAGUUAAAGAAGACGAAACAUUAUCUUUUUGAAUCCUUUCUGGAAUAUUUUGCAAUAGGGUGAGAAAGUACACAUGUGAUGUUUGUUUUUUAAAAACAGUUUAAGAAAUUUCUGUAAAUUUAACAAGCUAAUGUCUAUGCCCGCAUGUUAGAUAAAAUGCUUAUUAAUGCUGGACUACUGAAAUAUGUUGGCCUAAUUGCAACUAGUAAAUAUUAUGCUGUUUCUUUUAUAAUAAUGCAAC